rnacentral:tRNA from 1 species
GGAGGAAUCGCAUAGUGGCUAUUGCACCGGUCUUGAAAACCGGAACCCAGCAAUGGGUUCGUGGGUUCGAGUCCCACUUCCUCCG